UACGAGGGGUGCAAGCGUUGCUCGGAAUUAUUGGGCGUAAAGGGUAGGUAGGUGGUCUCAUUUGUCUGGGGUGAAAGCCUUGAGCUUAACUCAAGAAGUGCCCCAGAAACGGUGAGACUGGAGUCUUGGAGAGGGUCGUGGAAUUCCCGGUGUAGCGGUGAAAUGCGUAGAUAUCAGGAGGAACACCGGUGGUGUAGACGGCUUUCUGGACCGUAACUGACGCUGAGACACGAAAGCGUGGGGAGCAAGCAGG
rnacentral:rRNA from 1 species